CACAACCACAGACCAUCUUUCAAAAAAAAGAAAAAAAAACAACCACAGUUAUUCGAGGUAUUCGAGGUUCGAGCUAGAGCGGCGUCAGCUUGCAUUGCUUCGAGCUAGCUAGAGAGGCCGAAACGAUGGCAGCCAAGUUUCCUUCUGCGGCCUGCAAGGUCGUCCUCGUCGUCGUCGCGGUGGCCGUGAUCGGCCUCCUCUUCUCCACUACUGCCGGUGAAGCUAGCUAGCAUCCUCCAUGGCUCCAUUAUCGACAUUUGAUUUUAUCCCCGGGUAGAUGCAGGCCAGUUUUGACGUACGUGACACCAUCGCUUGUCUAAUGCAGGUGCAAGGGAAGCGGUGACGACGGGGGCCCAGGCGCAGUGCAACCCCCUGGUGUGGGGAAAAAAAUUAGGUGAGGACCGUCCGCAAAUUCAUCGCUGUGCGGCCCCCGUCUCGAAUACGUCCGCUGGCGGAUCGACGUCUCCGCACGCGCCUCGCUCGCUCGGCUCCUCCGCGCAUGCCUCGCUCGCUCGGCUCUCCCGUCCUCUGGUUCCGCAGGGGCUAGCUCGCUCGCACGGCUCGCUCGUUCCUCUGAUUCCGCGCCUGCUCGAUCGCUAGCUCGCCCGGCUCGCUCGUUCGUCUGGUUUUCGCAAACGCACCGCCCAGUUGCUAGAUCUCGCGACCGUCCUCCUCCUCCGUCCACCGCCGGCCACCCCCGCCGCCCUCGAGCCCGGCGGCCGCCCCCGCCACCGUCUCCCUCAUCCGCCGGCGUCUUCCUCCGUCGUCCGCCGCCGGCCGCCCCCGCUGCCCUCGAGCCCGGCGGUCGGCCCGGCCACUGUCUCCCUCGUCCGCCGGCGCGUCUUCCUCCGUCGUCCUCCGCCGGCCGGCCCCGUCGUCCUCCGUCAUCCGCUGCCGUCUUCCUCCUUCGUCCGCCGCCGAUCGUCCCGCCGCCCUCGAGCAAAUGAAGGCAACACUAACCAUUCAGAUCUCAGUUCACAACACUGAAAGAGCACUAUGCUGUUUCAGGAGAAAGAAAUAUAAACGAUAAUCUGGAACUAGUUCAUGAGCCAGAAAAUACUGCCAGAUCAAGUGGUGAGUUUCUCCAGAGAAGUGUGUCAGCAACUGAUCUAGAUAUAACUGAAUUGGCACCACAGAACACUCACCAUGUUGCUUUAGAAGACGCAGAUGUUAAAGAUGUUCGCGGGGAUAUCUGUGUUUCACAAGCUGGUGCUGAUUUCGAAACAACUGGUGAAGUUGAAGGUUGUAUUAAGAAAAUUGAACCCAUAGGUGACAUGGGGACACAUAAACUGGUAGUCCAAGAUCCUUCUGAUGAGCUGGUAAUGCAGAACAUUACCAAAAGAAUUUCACUGGAGAGGAAACAGGUGAACCGGACUGCGACUCCUCAAGCAUCUCAUGGAGGCAUCUGCUGUCAGAGCUCCCUUUAGUAUCUUCCUGGAAAUCUUGAUAUGCAAUGCUGAGAAAAUCCUUCAGCUCAGCGAAACCAUCAUGAGCACCGAACCGUGAUGCAGAGGCCGUUCUCAUUCCUUCAUGAUCAAUUGACUGGUUUGUUCUAUCCUGCAACAAUGCCAAAUUCACUGAAAGCUCACAAAUGUAGGUAAGAUCAACUCUUGUAUGCACAUACAGCAUUGCAUCAGGAUAAGCGGACAGAAUAUGAUACUUACCUCCGAAGAAUUCAGCCAUCUUGCAACAACAGAGUUUCCCGAUCUUCCUAACUGAGGGCAUAUAGACAAUACAGCAACUACACUGACAACAUGAUUUCGCCUAUUGGUUAUUGAACUAUAUAUAGAUGCAGACAAUGCAGCAAUACUGAAGAUGAUCUCUCAGAUGGUACUAUCACAAGAUGGUGUCCUGCGUCAGAAAAUAGGAAGUUUGCAACCUAGAUUUUCUUAUGCAGUUGUAACAUUUUCCACCAUUGUCAGAUUCUUGUUGUGGCUCCUUCAAUUUGAAACAGAUUAAUGUUGUAGUUUGUACUUUGUAGUAAUCACAGAUGUACAUGAUGAUCAAUGUAUCACCUUUUCUUGACAUGAUCAAUGUAUCACCUUUUCUUUUGAUAUGAAAUAUAUAUGGAUGUGUUGGAAAAAAA